rnacentral:rRNA from 1 species
AGAACGAACGCUGGCGGCGUGCCUAACACAUGCAAGUCCAACGUGAAAGGGGAGCAAUCCCCCGGUAGGGUGGCAAACGGGUGAGUAAUACAUGGGUGAUCUACCUUAGGGAUGGGGGAUAUCCUUCCGAAAGGAGGGGCAAUACCGAAUAUUGUCCGGGACGUGAAGGGUUCGGGGAACGGGGAAGGGCCGUCUGACACAAGACUUUCGUCCUUAACGUAAUGAGCCCACUGGCCCGACUCAGCUA